UGAAUACGAGAUGCUACGGCGUCGAAGCAGUGUAUGUCAGACUUCCAAAAAAGCUCGCAAUGUCAUAAAUAAAGAAUGCCUGUACCAUAACCGACACAGGUGGGUAGGUAGAGUAUACUAAGGGGCGCGAGAUAACUCUCUCUAAGGAACUCGGCAAAAUAACUCCGUAACUUCGGGAGAAGGAGUGCCUUCUAUUAGAAGGUUGCAAUAACAAGAUCCAAGCAACUGUUUAUCAAAAACACAGGUCUCCGCUAAGUCGUAAGACGAUGUAUGGGGGCUGACGCCUGCCCAGUGCCAGAAGGUUAAAGAAGUUGGUUAGCUUUGGCGAAGCUGAUGACUGAAGCCCUGGUGAACGGCGGCCGUAACUAUAACGGUCCUAAGGUAGCGAAAUUCCUUGUCGGGUAAGUUCCGACCCGCACGAAAGGCGUAAUGAUUUGGAUACUGUCUCGGAGAGGGACUCGGUGAAAUAGACUUGUCUGUGAAGAUGCGGACUACCUGCACCAGGACAGAAAGACCCUAUGAAGCUUUACUGUAACUUGAAAUUGAAAUUGGACUUUAUUUGCGCAGCAUAGGUGGAAGGCGUUGAGAUUACUCUUGCGGGAGUACUGGAGCCAUCAGUGAGAUACCACUCCUAUAAUGUUAGAUUUCUAACUUUGGAUCAUGAUCUGGUCAAAGAACAGUUUCAGGCGGGCAGUUUGACUGGGGCGGUCGCCUCCCAAAUGGUAACGGAGGCGUACAAAGGUUUCCUCUGAACGGGUAGAAAUCGUAUCUAGAGUGUAAAGGCAUAAGGAAGCUUGACUGUGAGACCUACAAGUCGAGCAGGGACGAAAGUCGGUCUUAGUGAUCUGACGGUGCUGAGUGGAAAGGCCGUCACUCAACGGAUAAAAGUUACUCUAGGAUAACAGGCUGAUCUCCCCCAAGAGUUCACAUCGACGGGGAGGUUUGGCACCUCGAUGUCGGCUCAUCGCAUCCUGGGGCGGUAGUACGUCCCAAGGGUUGGGCUGUUCGCCCAUGAAAGCGGUACGCGAGCUGGGUUCAGAACGUCGUGAGACAGUUCGGUCCAUAUCCGGUGUAGGCGUUAGAAUAUUGAGAGGAGCCUUCUUUAGUACGAGAGGACCGAGAAGGACAUACCUCUGGUGUACCAGUUAUCGUGCCAACGGUAAACGCUGGGUAGCUAUGUAUGGAGAGGAUAACCGCUGAAAGCAUCUAAGUGGGAAGCCCACCUCAAGAUGAGUGUUCUCA
rnacentral:rRNA from 1 species